CAUGCACACACAAACACACGCACACACAGGCAAGACAGUACUCACUGAAGCUACUAUAGCAACUACAGUAUAUACAACACAGACAUGACUGAGCCAUCCAGGGGUUUGUUUUACCUUCCUAUCAUCUAUUUGUGGACAGGAGGAGUAAAGUGUGAUGUUCUGGCCUCUCUGGCCCCUCCGAUCCACCUGUCAGGGGAGAGGCUGGGCUGGACCCUGCUGGUCUGUAUGGUGAGCGACUUCAGGAGAGGGCACCUAGAGGUCAGCUGGAGGUCACCAUCCGAAGGCCAUGUAUCCAGCUCCCCUUACAGCAUGUCUGUGAACAGGAAGCAUCGUGGAAACAGCGCUGUGGCAAUCCUCACAGUGGCGACCGGUGACUGGCCAUCGUACAGCUGCUCUGUGAGUCACAGACGUCUCUCUAAAGUCCCCAGCAGACACCGCUCCUCCUCAUCAGAUCAUAAAGACAAUACCUGCUAUGUGGGUGAAGAAACAGAAGAUGUUGUUCUGUGGACUAAUACAGUGAUCGUCUUGGUUCUGAGGCUGCUUCUCAUGAAGAUCAUUGUCUUCAACACUUUGAUGACCAUUUAUGCUGUUAUUAAGUGAUGGUUGGAAAUGGAAGGCGUGUGAUAAAUCGUGUGACCUUGAAAGAAACCUAACCCAGAAAGGGAAGAAUUUCUUGUCUGAAGUGGGAAAAGUGAGGUCUUUUGGUGAGUUUUCGAUUGGAAUCUCUUGGUUUAAAUGAGAAAUCCUCCAACGUCAGGAUCCCAGGAGUAGUAGGUCUGAAAUUCUACAAAUAUUUUGUGGCGCCCUUUCUCAUUGACAUCGCAGGUGUUGCAAACUGUGGCAGUUGAAGACAGAUCUUGUUUGUGAGACUGAACUUCGUAUCUGAUCGAAGCCUAACCUCAGACAGAUGGGUUAGUGUUUGUGUGUGUGUGUUUGUGUUUGUGUAUGUGUGUGUGAUUGUUUAUGUUUGUAAGAAGAUAUUUUUGUGUUCUUACUUAUGUUUAUUCUUGAAUUCCUUGAAUGCCUUAAAAUACUCCUGUAGGGGAGACUUGGCAUUUUGUUUUGUUUUUAUAUUUUGGUCAAAUGUGACAUUAAUAAACAGGAAGUAAACUUGAA